rnacentral:rRNA from 1 species
CCUACGGGCGGCAGCAGUGAGGAAUAUUGGUCAAUGGGAGGGAUCCUGAACCAGCCAUGCCGCGUGAAGGACGACGGCUCUACGGGUUGUAAACUGCUUUUAUACCGGAAUAAAGUGCUCUACGAGUAGUGUUUUGAAUGUACGGUACGAAUAAGGAUCGGCUAACUCCGUGCCAGCAGCCGCGGUAAUACGGAGGAUCCGAGCGUUAUCCGGAUUCAUGGGGUUUAAAGGGUGCGUAGGUGGUUUUAUAAGUUAGCGGUGAAAUACCGAUGCUCAACAUAGGAGUUGCAGCUGAUACGGUAGGAUUAGAGACCGUAGGCAGCAGGCGGAAU